rnacentral:rRNA from 1 species
UACAUAGGGUCCGAGCGUUGUCCGGAAUUAUUGGGCGUAAAGAGCUCGUAGGCGGUCUGUCGCGUCGGCUGUGAAAACACGGGGCUCAACUCCGUGCCUGCAGUCGAUACGGGCAGACUAGAGUUCGGUAGGGGAGACUGGAAUUCCUGGUGUAGCGGUGAAAUGCGCAGAUAUCAGGAGGAACACCGGUGGCGAAGGCGGGUCUCUGGGCAGUAACUGACGCUGAGGAGCGAAAGCGUGGGGAGCGAACAGG